rnacentral:rRNA from 1 species
CUACAGGCUUAACACAUGCAAGUCGAGGGGAAACGACAUCGAAAGCUUGCUUUUGAUGGGCGUCGACCGGCGCACGGGUGAGUAACGCGUAUCCAACCUGCCCACCACUUGGGGAUAACCUUGCGAAAGUAAGACUAAUACCCAAUGAUAUCUCUAGAAGGCAUCUGAAAGAGAUUAAAGAUUUAUCGGUGAUGGAUGGGGAUGCGUCUGAUUAGCUUGUUGGCGGGGUAACGGCCCACCAAGGCAACGAUCAGUAGGGGUUCUGAGAGGAAGGUCCCCCACAUUGGAACUGAGACACGGUCCAAACUCCUACGGGAGGCAGCAGUGAGGAAUAUUGGUCAAUGGACGAGAGUCUGAACCAGCCAAGUAGCGUGCAGGAUGACGGCCCUAUGGGUUGUAAACUGCUUUUAUAAGGGAAUAAAGUGAGAGUCGUGACUCUUUUUGCAUGUACCUUAUGAAUAAGGACCGGCUAAUUCCGUGCCAGCAGCCGCGGUAAUACGGAAGGUCCGGGCGUUAUCCGGAUUUAUUGGGUUUAAAGGGAGCGUAGGCCGGAGAUUAAGCGUGUUGUGAAAUGUAGAUGCUCAACGUCUGCACUGCAGCGCGAACUGGUUUCCUUGAGUACGCACAAAGUGGGCGGAAUUCGUGGUGUAGCGGUGAAAUGCUUAGAUAUCACGAAGAACUCCGAUUGCGAAGGCAGCUCACUGGAGCGCAACUGACGCUGAAGCUCGAAAGUGCGGGUAUCGAACAGGAUUAGAUACCCUGGUAGUCCGCACGGUAAACGAUGGAUGCCCGCUGUUGGUCUGAAUAGGUCAGCGGCCAAGCGAAAGCAUUAAGCAUCCCACCUGGGGAGUACGCCGGCAACGGUGAAACUCAAAGGAAUUGACGGGGGCCCGCACAAGCGGAGGAACAUGUGGUUUAAUUCGAUGAUACGCGAGGAACCUUACCCGGGCUUGAAUUGCAGAGGAAGGAUUUGGAGACAAUGACGCCCUUCGGGGUCUCUGUGAAGGUGCUGCAUGGUUGUCGUCAGCUCGUGCCGUGAGGUGUCGGCUUAAGUGCCAUAACGAGCGCAACCCCUCUCCUUAGUUGCCAUCAGGUUAAGCUGGGCACUCUGGGGACACUGCCACCGUAAGGUGUGAGG